rnacentral:rRNA from 1 species
GUCUACAAGCUGUGGAAGCACUUUAUAUGUGCGACCGCGUACUUUUUGUAGAACGGUCCGGCGAGUUACGCUUACUGGCAAGGUUAAGCACUUCAGGUGUGGAGCCGUAGGGAAACCAAGUCUUAAGAGGGCCAGAGUCAGUAGGAGUAGACCCGAAACCGGGUGAUCUAUCCAUGUCCAGGUUGAAGCUGCCGUAAGAGGUAGUGGAGGACCGAACCCACAUCCGUUGAAAAGGGUGGGGAUGAGGUGUGGAUAGGGGAGAAAUUCCAAUCGAACCCGGAGAUAGCUGGUUCUCCUCGAAAUAGCUUUAGGGCUAGCCUCGAUACAGAUUUGCGGAGGUAGAGCACUGAAUUUCCUAGGGGGCGUCAAAGCCUACCGAAGAAUAUCAAACUCCGAAUGCCGCGUAAUCGAUUAUCGGGAGUCAGACUGCACGAGAUAAGUUGGGCGGUCAAAAGGGAAAGAGCCCAGACCUUCAGUUAAGGUCCCCAAGUGCGCGUUAAGUGGAAAAGGAUGUGGGAUUUCGAAGACAACCAGGAUGUUGGCUCAGAAGCAGCCAUCCAUUCAAAGAGUGCGUAAUAGCUCACUGGUCGAGAGGUCCUGCGCCGAAAAUGUCCGGGGCUGAAACGCGCCACCGAAACUAAGGAACCGAAAGGUUGGUAGAGGAGCAUUGCAUGCGGGAAGAAGCAGUACCGUAAGGAGCUGUGGACUGCAUGGAAGAGAGAAUGCCGGAAUGAGUAGCGAGAAUAAGGUGAGAAUCCUUAUGGCCGAAUAUCCAAGGUUUCCAGAGUAAAGCUGAUCUGCUCUGGGUAAGUCGGGGCCUAAGGCGAGGACGAGAGUCGUAGCCGAUGGACAACAGGUGGAGAUUCCUGUACUGCGGUAUGACAGAACUGUGGGGACACGUAAGGAAAGCGGAAGCCGGGAAUGGAAAGCCCGGUGCAAGCGGGGUACCAGUCACUUUGGCAAAUCCGGGUGGCAAUGGGAAGCCGUGAUGCGGAGUGAAAUAAAGUAACGAAGUCCGUGAGCCAUGCGUCAAGAAAAGCCGCUAUUGUUUGUACCGUACCCGUACCGUAAACCGACACAGGUGGAUGAGGAGAGAAUCCUAAGGCCGGCGGAAGAAGCAUUGUCAAGGAACUCGGCAAAAUGGCCCCGUAACUUAGGGAUAAGGGGUGCCUGGGAAACCAGGCCGCAGAGAAUAGGCUCAAGCAACUGUUUAGCAAAAACACAGGUCUAUGCGAAACCGAAAGGUGAGGUAUAUGGGCUGACGCCUGCCCGGUGCUGGAAGGUUAAGAGGAGAGGUUAGCGCAAGCGAAGCUUUGAAUUUAAGCCCCAGUAAACGGCGGCCGUAACUAUAACGGUCCUAAGGUAGCGAAAUUCCUUGUCGGGUAAGUUCCGACCCG